rnacentral:rRNA from 1 species
AUUGAACGCUAGCGGGAUGCUUUACACAUGCAAGUCGAACGGAGAGGCGGGAGGGUGAGUAAGAUACGGGAACGUGCGCAGGAGAGGGGGAUAACUAAUCGAAAGAGGGGCUGAUACCGCAUACGAGUGGAGCGGCCGGUAUCGGAUUAGCGAGUUGGUGGGGUAAAGGCUCACCAAGGCAACGAGCCGUAGCUGGUUUGAGAGGACGACCAGCCACACUGGGACUGAGACACGGCCCAGCCUCCUACGGGAGGCAGCAGUGGGGAAUGUUGGACAAUGGGGGAAACCCUGAUCCAGCCAUCCCGCGUGUAUGAUGAAGGCCUUCGGGUUGUAAAGUACUUUUGGCAGAGAAGCGGUAUCUGCAGAAUAAGCACCGGCUAACUACGUGCCAGCAGCCGCGGUAAUAC